GAUGAACGCUGGCGGCGUGCCUAACACAUGCAAGUCGAGCGAACAGAUAAGGAGCUUGUGCCUUUGACGUUAGCGGCGGACGGGUGAGUCACACGUGGAUAACCUACCUAUAAGACUGGGAUAUCUUCGGGAAACCGGAGCUAAUACCGGAUAACAUAUUGAACCGCAUGGUGCAAUAGAGAAUGGCGGCUUUGGUGUCACUUCUAGAUGGAUCCGCGCCGUAUUAGCUAGUUGGUACGGUAACGGCGUACCAAGGCAACGAUACGUAGCCGACGGGAGAGAGUGAUCGCCCACACUAGAGGUGGACCGGGGACCAGGGUCCUGCGAGAGGCAGCAGAAGGGAAUCGUCCGCAGUGGGCGAAAACAUGGCGGAACGACCCCACGUGAGAGGUAGAGAUGUUCGGAGCGGAAAGCUCGGUUAUGGGGGAUAAACAAAUGUCUAAGGAGCUGUGCAGAUCGUGACGGUACCUGAUCAAAAAGCAACGGCUAACUACGUG
rnacentral:rRNA from 1 species